ACGCACGCUGGCGGCGUGCUUAACACCUGCCAGUCGAACGGAAAGGCCCUGCUUUUGUGGGGUGCUCGAGUGGCGAACGGGUGAGUAACACGUGAGUAACCUGCCCUUGACUUUGGGAUAACUUCAGGAAACUGGGGCUAAUACCGGAUAGGAGCUCCUGCUGCAUGGUGGGGGUUGGAAAGUUUCGGCGGUUGGGGAUGGACUCGCGGCUUAUCAGCUUGUUGGUGGGGUAGUGGCUUACCAAGGCUUUGACGGGUAGCCGGCCUGAGAGGGUGACCGGCCACAUUGGGACUGAGAUACGGCCCAGACUCCUACGGGAGGCAGCAGUGGGGAAUAUUGCACAAUGGGCGGAAGCCUGAUGCAGCAACGCCGCGUGCGGGAUGACGGCCUUCGGGUUGUAAACCGCUUUCGCCUGUGACGAAGCGUGAGUGACGGUAAUGGGUAAAGAAGCGCCGGCUAACUACGUG
rnacentral:rRNA from 1 species